rnacentral:rRNA from 1 species
GACGUAGGGCGCGAGCGUUGUCCGGAUUUAUUGGGCGUAAAGAGCUCGUAGGCGGCUUGUCGCGUCGACUGUGAAAUCCCGCGGCUCAACUGCGGGUCUGCAGUCGAUACGGGCAGGCUAGAGUUCGGUAGGGGAGACUGGAAUUCCUGGUGUAGCGGUGAAAUGCGUAGAUAUCUGGAGGAACACCGGUGGCGAAGGCGGCAUCCUGGACCGAUAUUGACGCUGAUGCGCGAAAGCCAGGGGAGCAAACGGG